UUGACUGUGUAUUUACUUUUAACAAUGGAUUUCAUGCUUUCAUAUGCCAAUUGGCAUCCUUGUCUUUUUGCUUCUUCAGGUCUUCCUUUAACUUUUCUUGUAAGACAGGUCUGGUGGCGAUAAACUCCCUCAGUUUUUGUUUGCCUGGAGAAGUCUUGAUCUCUUCUUCAUUUCUGCAGGAUAGCUUUGCCAGUUAGAAUAUUUUUGCUUGGCAAUUUUUCUCCUUCAGCCAUAGAGACUGACCUGGGGCCUGGGGCUGUGGGAAGUGGACAUAAAUCUGGGUCCACAGGGGCAGUCCUGGAGCCUGUGUCUGUGAGGUCUGGCCUAGUGCUGGGGUUAACUGGGAUGAGCUUGUACAGUGGAUCUUGUAAAGCAGGCCUGGACCCUAAGCCUAGUGGAGUGUAGGGCCACAGGGUCCAGCCUGCAGUGUGGUAUUGCAGGAUCUGGCCUGGGACUGGACAGGACUGGAGUCCUCGGGUGUCAGCCUGGUACCUGAGACAAGGGAUACUGACUCAGCACUAAAGCGGGCCUGAAGCCUGGGACUCUGUGGGCCAACCUAUCUCUGGGCUGUUCUGAGCUUGGGGUUAGGUCUGGAGCCAAUAUCUGCAGGGGCUGGCCUGCAAGCUGGCUCCACUGCAGCCGGCCUGAGGACUAGGGCUUCGAGGGCUGGCUUAGUGCUGGGAUGGUCCUGAGCCUGCGGCUAUAGAGGCCAACCUGCUGCUAGGGCAGUCCAGAGCCCAUGACUUCCAGGGCCAGCUCAAAGAGACUGAAUGAGUCUUUGGGGCAGCCUCAAACUCUGGGGCCGCUAAGGUUAGCCUCGUGGUGAGGUGGGCCUGGAGGCCCAGUCCAAGUGUGUCAGCCUGGGGUCUGAGGCCAUAGACACCUGCCCAGUUCUGGGUUUUACUGUGGCAGGCUUGGUGUUAGGUUUAAGGUAAAGUCCAGUGCACACUUCUCUCUCCUUCCUCCAAGUGUGGGUUUCUCUCUCUACGCUGUGCGGCCUCGGGUUUGGGGAGGGAUGGUUGGAUAAUGUGAAUCUGUCCUUCUUGCCCUCAUCAAUGUGUCUUUUCUUAUUUCUGUGCUAUGCUAAGGUGCUGUAAUGUUUCACCUGGUUUCCUUAGCUCUGGGGAAGGUAUUUUCUUGAGGGAAAGGUAUUUUAUUGUGUGGAAAAUGGUUCAAAUUGAUGUUUCCAUUGGGGGAUGGGCACUGGAAAGCCCUGUUCUGCUAACUUGUUGGCAUCCCCUAGACAAUCUAAAUAUAAGGUUUAGUGACCCAGAAGGAGAUCACAAAUUCUAAUUGCACUUUUACAGAUAAUUUUCAAUGCAGUUGCUCAUACUGAGGGUUGUAAAAAUGACUAAGGAGAGUGUUGGCAUUUCACUACACUGUGGGUACACAGAGAGAAAAAUAAAUAUAUAAAAAUAUCUUGCUUUAGUAGCUACUGAGAGGAAGAGUAUUUCAUCUUGCCCUUGCCAUAGUAAAGAUGUAAACCCCUUUCUAAGUAAGGUGUAUUGGCUUUUAUUUUUAAAUAUAAGGUUUUAUAUACUGUACAAAAGUAACUGGAUCUUUAAUUUCUUGUUAAAGGCCAAACAAGUAAGCGGAAUGACCUAAACUGAGAUCUACAUUGUAGUAAAAUUAUACUUUCUCUUAACAGCUUUCUCAUAAUGAAUAUUUGCUUAUCAUUUGUCGUAAGGGUGAUAACAAUUUCAGCUGGAGCCUCACUGGUAACCUUGCUCGGCCACAUGACUGGAAGGUAAGAGGCUGGGGCAUUUUGGACAGCACAGAUGUUAAAUGUGAACACUACCUUCUCAGUAGCACAAAUCUGACUACAUCUUUAAGUCUCCAAGAGGUAAACUCUCCUUCUUCAUAGAAGAUUUCACAUUUUCAGAGCAGAUGCAAUUGGAAAUUCUAAGAGUACUUAGUCCCUGAGAUUUAGCUUUUGUUAGUUCCAAACUCUGCCAGUUUUCCUCAUCAUUGUUAGAGUCAUUUUAAUUCCUUCACUUUUCAAAUGCUGUGCCUGCCUCUCCCGCGGCACUCUUUGAAGUAAGUAAAGACAAAUAAAGACAGUGCAAAUACAAUCCUCUGAGGCAACAAUGGAUUCAGAAAUGGAUACCUACAUGAGACACUGCUUACCCAAGUGCUAUAAUUUGGAAUACAAUAGCAAAAGUUGUCCAAGCCCCCACCCUAAAUCACCUUGGACAGCAGCUGCCUUACCAUCUGAAAUUCUACCUCUAGGAAUUUACUGGAGAGAACAGUUCAAGGCAGAGCAGAUUUUGUACAGUAGAGAACUGUAGAGUUGGGAGGCCUCGGCAGGGUCUCCUAAAGAAUUCACACAUGCACCCCACAAGAGAAUUAGCAUUUGAUUGUUUUCACUCAGAGGUCAUCACCAGGGAAACUGUCGAAGUCAAGACAGGAAAAGAACAACCCAAUUAAAUGAGUCAUUUGACUGAACUUUUCUUUCUUUCUCGCUUCUCUGUCCUUAAGCCACCAGAAGAAAAAGAGCUUCAGGAAAGGGAGGAUGGGAAGAGUUUCUGCAUCAGAUCUCGACACUUUUCAAUUCCAAGUCUUCUGAGCCAAAAUCUUGUUGCUGAUGGAAGGAAGAGAAAGAUUUAAACUGGAUAUAAGCUAGCUAGGUUGAUGUCAAAUAGCUGAGAGUGAUGAGAAAGAAUGGGAUUUCCCUUAGAAUGUUACUAAGGAAUAGAAAUGAAAAUUCUACAGAAUAGUUGAAGGAAAUGAUUUUUAAAAGAAAAAGAUAAACAACUUUAUAUCUGUGUCUCAUCAAAUUCACAUCAUUCAUUAAUCUGGCUACACAUUGCUGAACAUGAGGACAUGAGCAAUAGAAGAAACCUGGAGGAAGAGGGUGCGGCAUGUUGAAAUUUAAAAAGAAGCAAUGUGUAUUUGCAAGUCAAACUAGUAUAAUAAAACCUGUGGUUAUUUUUUAAUAUUUUCAAUCAUUGGAAUAUACAUAAAUCUUUGCAAUGAAGUGUGCUAAAGUAUUCAUAUCUUUUAGAACAUUAUUUGUCCUCCAGUUGGAAAUCUACAAAAAAAAAAAUUGACUUUUAUUUGAAACAACAGUAUAUCUGAGAAUCCAAAACAAUGUAUCUGCAUAUUGCUCCAGCACUCUAAUAUGGAAGUGUUUCAACAGGAUGUUCUUUCAAAAACAAAAGGGGAAAUAGUCCACAUACUGACUAGAAAUAUGUUUGGCAGAUGUGGGAGAAUAAUCUAUUACAGUGGAUUAAUAAAUUAAUCAGGGAAUUAAUUUUAUACAUAACAAGACAGCUAGAAGUAAGCCAAGAGUUGGUACAGCUAUUAAAAGAAACAAAAACUGAAAAAAAAAAAAAAAAAA